GACCCGCUGGCCGGCAGGCCUAACACAUGACAAGUCGAGCGCGCCCUUCGGGGUGAGCGGCGGACGGGCGAGUAACGCGUGGGAACGUGCCCUUUGCUGCGGAAUAGCCACUGGAAACGGUGAGUAAUACCGCAUGAGCCCUUCGGGGGAAAGAUUUAUCGGCAAAGGAUCGGCCCGCGUUGGAUUAGGUAGUUGGUGGGGUAAUGGCCUACCAAGCUGACGAUCCAUAGCUGGUUUUAGAGGAUGAUCAGCCACACUGGGACUGAGACACGGCCCAGACUCCUACGGGAGGCAGCAGUGGGGAAUCUUAGACAAUGGGCGCAAGCCUGAUCUAGCCAUGCCGCGUGAGUGACGAAGGCCCUAGGGUCGUAAAGCUCUUUCGCCUGUGAUGAUAAUGACAGUAGCAGGUAAAGAAACCCCGGCUAACUCCGUGCCAGCAGCCGCGGUAAUACGGAGGGGGUUAGCGUUGUUCGGAAUUACUGGGCGUAAAGGGUGCGCAGGCGGCCUGGCAAGAAAGGUGUGAAAUCCCAGGGCUUAACCUUGGAAUGGCACUUUUAACUGCCAAGCUAGAGUAUGUCAGAGGGGGGUAGAAUUCCCACGUGUAGCCAGUGAAAUGCGUAGAGAUGUGGAGGAAUACCGAUGGCCAAAGGCAGCCCCCUGGGAUAAUUACUGACGCUCAAGGCACGAAAAGCAUGGGGAGCAAA
rnacentral:rRNA from 1 species